rfam:Triticum urartu cultivar G1812 contig586281, whole genome shotgun sequence.
CUUGUAUCUCCGUCCCAAAAUUUUUGGCUCAGAUUUGUCUAGAUAUGGAUGUAUCUAACACUAAAACGUAACUAGAUACAUCCGUAUUUAGACAAAUCUAAGACAAAAAUUUUAGGACGGAGGGAAUACUUA